rnacentral:rRNA from 1 species
AACCUCCGCAAUGUGAGAAAUCGCGACGGGGGGAUCCCAAGUGCCAUUCUUAACGGGAUGGCUUUUCAUUAGUGUAAAAAGCUUUUGGAAUAAGAGCUGGGCAAGACCGGUGCCAGCCGCCGCGGUAACACCGGCAGCUCUAGUGGUAGCAAUUUUUAUUGGGCCUAAAGCGUCCGUAGCCGGUUUAAUAAGUCUCUGGUGAAAUCCUGUAGCUUAACUGUGGGAAUUGCUGGAGAUACUAUUAGACUUGAGACCGGGAGAGGUUAGAGGUACUCCCAGGGUAGAGGUGAAAUUCUGUAAUCCUGGGAGGACCGCCUGUUGCGAAGGCGUCUAACUGGAACGGUUCUGACGGUGAGGGACGAAAGGUGGGGGCGCGAACCGGAUUAGAUACCCGGGUAGUCCUAACUGUAAACGAUGCGGACUUGGUGUUGGGGUGGUUUUGAGCUGCUCCAGUGCCGAAGGGAAGCUGUUAAGUCCGCCGCCUGGGAAGUACGGUCGCAAGACUGAAACUUAAAAGGAAA